GACGGAAGUAAAGUGAAGUUCCGUCAGUAUUUACUUCCCUUUAUUUCACGCUUGGUGAUCUGCGCUCUGGCUUUUGUUCUGCAAGGCUAAGUUUUUUUUUUGGAUAGAUUUUGUUAUGCGGGACUUUUGGUGCAGACCCGGAUGAUUGCAGUGCACCUCCUACCUGCUAACAGCCACGGAACCAGUGUGUCCUCUGAGCCACAGCAAGGCCCUUAUGCUGCUCAAAACUCUGCACCGGGUGGUUGUCAAGCGCCUCAAAAUUUCCCUGCUGUGUGAGAACAGGAGUCAGACACAUCCUGCCACUUCUGUUUUCGGUGCGCUGAGGGCUCAAAAGAUAUAACAGCCCCCUGUGAUGUGCAGCCUCACUUAAAGGGACAGUCUACCAUAGAAUUGUUAUUGUUUUAAAAGAUACAUAAUCCCUUUAUUACCCAUUCCCCAGUUUUGCACAACCAACACUGUUAUAUUAAUACACUUUUUACCUCUGAUUACCUUGUAUCUAAGUAGCUUCUUCCAGCCCCCUGAUCACAUGACUGUGACUGUUUAUUAUCUAUUGUCUUGAAGUUAGCAUUGUGUUGUGCUAGAUCUUAAAUAACUCCCUGUGCCUGAACACAGUGUUAUCUAUAUAGCCCACGUGUACUUUCUGUCUCUUUGUGAUGAAAAGGAUUUUAAAAGGCCUGUGAUAAGAGGCAGCCCUCAAGAGUUUAGAAAUUAGCAUAUGAGUCUGCCUAGGUUUAGUUUCAACUAAGAAUAGUAAGAGAAAAAAGCAAAUUUGAUGAUAAAAGUAAAUUGGAAAGUUGAUUAAAAUUACAUGUCCUAUCUGAAUAAUGAAAGUUUAAUUUUGACUAGACUGUCCCUUUAACAAGUGUGCAGUUCCUACAAAAAUCACUGCGCGGCAGAGCUGCCACGGGCAUUACAGGGAACUUUUGUCCCUGCAGCUCCUGUCUACACUCAGAUGGUUCUUACUCCACCUUGGCACACACUCAGCCCAGGCAUCCACUGUGUCUCAGGCAGACUCGGGUCAGUGUGCUGAUCUUCCUCCAUCAUGUGGAGCUCCCUGCUUAGGUAUAGGAGGAGGCUCUAUGUCAAUUUACACAUCCACCCCGUCUUCUCUCUAAAAGCCUGUGCGCUGUAGUGCUCAAUUUAUUGGGUGCAGGCUUUCAAAGAGAGGAUAUGGUGGGUGUGCAAACAGUUAAAGCAGCCCUGAAAAUGAAGGAACAUGCACGUGUCUGCAGCACUAUGGUGGCAGUUUUGCCAUAUGUUAUACAAUUGCAAGAGCGCUAGACGGCAGCACUUUUUACAGGGCUAUAGAAAAAGUAACUGAUCUGCUGUUCGUUACUGGCAGAUUGCUCCUCUUUCUGUAUGUAUUUCUAUUAAGACCCUGGGGAAACCAGACGUGGACUCCUUGUCCAAUGUGCUCAGAGGGAUAGGGCUGCACCUAACCAACGAGGCUGAAACAAUCGUCUGGGACCUUCUUAGGCAGGAUCAGACUAAUAUUUCAGGAAAGUUCUCCUCUGCAAAAAGCACAAUUGGGCUAAAAGAAGCUACCCCCAGACAGGGGGCCACAGAACAAGCCACUGAGCUCUUAUUCGUUCCUGGCGGAUUGCUUUUCUUUCUGUAAGCACUUUUUCGUGCCAAGUAGUGCUCCAUACAUGUGCAUGUUACCCAAUUAACUCUUAAACAAAGAAUACCAUAAGAACUAGGACAUUUUGAUGAAAGAAAUACAUUGGAAACAUUUUUAAAAUGGUAUGCUCUGUCUGAACCACAAAAGAAAAUUUUGGGUUUCAUGUCCCUUUAAAGGGACACUCAAAAAAAAACCCAAAAAACCCCAAAAACUUAUGAAUCAGAAAGAGCAUGCAGUUUUAAGAUACUUUGCAAAAUUUGAUAAUGGAAGUAAAUUGGAAAGUCUUAAUAUUCACAAUUUCUGGGUAACAAGAUCAUACGGUAUAAGUAUACUAGUCUGUGAUUGGCUGAUGUCUGUCACAUAAUACAGGGGGCAGGAAAAUGAGAGAAAAUAAAAUUGUCAGAAAAAAAAACAAAAAAAAAAACCACACUGCUUAUUUGAAUUCUACUGCAUUGAGUGGUCCUUUAAUUUAAAGUGAAAUAGCGCUGCGGAAUCUGUUGGCGCUCUACAAAUAACCGAUAAUAAUAAUAAUGUCAAUUUUGAUGCCAAAGUGCCCGUUUUUUAAAAAUUUGAUUAAAAACAGGGGCACUAAUUCAUCAAAAUUUACAUUUCACUCCUGUUGAGAAAAAAACAAAAAAACAACAACAACAAAAAAAACAACUUAACUUUUAAUCUUCACAGCAGCUCCAGCUUCCUCCACCCGUCACAAAGCUCUUCCUGGGUCUAAAAUGAGGAAUCCGGCUUCCUCCAAUCACUGCGUUGAAUCAGACACCGAUUCCCCCAGGGGGGGGAGUCGUGAUUGGAGGAUGACCUAUCCAUCAUUUCUGACGUCAGAAAUGGCUUGCAACGACCGUAGGAAGCUAGAGCUGCUGUGAAGAUUAAAAGGUAAGUUUUUUUUCUCAACAGGAGUGAAAUAUAAAUUUUGAUGAAUUAAAGUGCCCUGUUUUUAGUCGAACUUUUUAAAACCGGGCACUUUAGCAUCAAAAUUGACAUUCACUUUAACAUUUGGUAUAAUAACAAUGGUUGUUGUGUAUGUCCACAAAACACCCAAACACCCUCUUAACCCCUUCCUGUACGUAUUUGUUACAUAGGAACAAAGUUCCAAAAUAAACAAAUAAGCAAAAAAAUUUGCGAUCGUGUGAUUUCAAUGAUGGGAUCCAUUCUGGGGGGGUGCCUAUGAAGCUAGGCAUGCCCUCCAGUCCAUGAUCCCAGUUAGGAAGCCGUAGCCGCUUCAGUAAAGCAGAGCGGCUAGGAAGUUCCAUGCUGUCCUAACGGUGCUAAAGCCCAGCGCGAUUAGGGCGGCAUGGAACGUCCUAACGGGGAUAUAGGGACAUUAAAAAGUUGUGUGUAUGUCGAACAAAAUAUAAUGUAUGGCAGCAGAUCUGCAUGCAAACUAAAUAAUUCAAGAGCCUUUAAACUCAUUUUGUCUUGGGGCACACCACUUGAAAAUUAUCUUGAAUGUUGUUUACAUUAUCUUUCCUCUUGUGCUGUGGCUAAUAGAUCUAUAUAAAUGAGCUCCUGCACAGAUCAAGCAAUCAUUAGGCUACAUGUUAGAGGGUCAACAUCCUAAAUUUCACAGGAUGUUUCCUUGCUACUCUAGUGCAAUAUAUAAACUAAAAUUUUCAGAAAAAAAAAUGAAGAUGAAAUAAUAAAAGUGCAUUGCAUUUGUUUUCAACAGAA